UUUCCGUAGGUGAACCUGCGGAAGGAUCAUUAUUGAGCCCUGCCCUCACGGGUAGACCUCCAACCCUGUGUAUUUAUACCAUUGUUGCUUCGGCAGGCCGUCUAGGUUUCGGCCUGGCUAUGGGCUUCGGCUCGUAAGUGCCCGCCAGAAGACCAAACCAAAACUCGUUUUUUUAGCGGCAUUCUGAGUCUAAAAACAAACUGUUAAAACUUUCAACAACGGAUCUCUUGGUUCUGGCAUCGAUGAAGAACGCAGC
rnacentral:misc_RNA from 1 species